AUUGAACGCUGGCGGCAUGCUUUACACAUGCAAGUCGAACGGUAACAGGCCGCAAGGUGCUGACGAGUGGCGAACGGGUGAGUAAUGCAUCGGAACGUGCCCAGUCGUGGGGGAUAACGCAGCGAAAGCUGCGCUAAUACCGCAUACGAUCUGUGGAUGAAAGCGGGGGACCGAAAGGCCUCGCGCGAUUGGAGCGGCCGAUGUCAGAUUAGGUAGUUGGUGGGGUAAAGGCCCACCAAGCCGACGAUCUGUAGCUGGUCUGAGAGGACGACCAGGCACACUGGGACUGAGACACGGCCCAGACUCCUACGGGAGGCAGCAGUGGGGAAUUUUGGACAAUGGGCGCAAGCCUGAUCCAGCAAUGCCGCGUGCAGGAAGAAGGCCUUCGGGUUGUAAACUGCUUUUGUACGGAACGAAACGGCUCUGGUUAAUACCUGGGGCUAAUGACGGUACCGUAAGAAUAAGCACCGGCUAACUACGUGCCAGCCGCCGCAGUAACAC
rnacentral:rRNA from 1 species